UUAGGAAUCUUGCGCAAUGGGAGAAAUCCUGACGCAGCAACGCCGCGUGAGGGAUGACGGCCUUCGGGUUGUAAACCUCUUUUAGCAGGGAAAAACACAAUGAUGGUACCUGCAGAAAAAGCACCGGCUAACUCUGUGCCAGCAGCCGCGGUAAUACAGAGGGUGCAAGCGUUAUUCGGAAUUAUUGGGCGUAAAGAGCGCGUAGGCGGUUUGAUAAGUCUGAUGUGAAAACCCUGGGCUCAAUCCAGGAAGUGCAUUGGAUACUGUCAGGCUAGAGUACAGGAGAGGUGGGCGGAAUUCCUGGUGUAGAGGUGAAAUUCGUAGAUAUCAGGAGGAACAACAGUGGCGAAGGCGGCUCACUAGACUGUAACUGACGCUGAGGCGCGAAAGCGUGGGGAGCAAACAGGAUUAGAUACCCCAGUAGUCCCUGAGCGGGCUGGCAAGGCGCAU
rnacentral:rRNA from 1 species